rnacentral:rRNA from 1 species
CAGUCGCCACGGUAAUACGAAGGGUGCAAGCGUUAAUCGGAAUUACUGGGCGUAAAGCGCACGCAGGCGGUUUGUUAAGUCAGAUGUGAAAUCCCCGAGCUUAACUUGGGAACUGCAUUUGAAACUGGUAAGCUAGAGUCUUGUAGAGGGGGGUAGAAUUCCAGGUGUAGCGGUGAAAUGCGUAGAGAUCUGGAGGAAUACCGGUGGCGAAGGCAAUCCCCUGGACCUGUACUGACGCUCAUGCACGAAAGCGUGGGGAGCAAACAGGAUUAGAUACCCCGGUAGUCCCUGUCUCUUAUAC